AAACUGUAACAGCAACAAGUCUUUUCUUAAUACUGAGCAUCAUUGAACACAUGGAUUUCUAGUGAAAUUCAUACAACAGAUGUGACUUAAAGUCCACAUGAAUUAGCUUGAGAGCAGUGAUUUGGUGAAGUUAGAGUGAUGGCAUGUUGAAGUGCUUGACACAACAGCCUCUAGUGUUGGAGAUACACCACACUCCCUCCUAAUCAAAACAAACCGACAGUAGCUUAGCAAACUAGCUAAGUAUGGGGGGAGAAAAGCAAGUUUAACAAGAACUUUUUGUUUUUUUUUUUUUACUCUGCAGGAUUUCUCACCGCCACCUUCACCCAUGCCUGUUGACUUUAACAAGUAUGAUAUCCUAGAUGACAAGAUUUCAUGUGUUUUUGGAGUCAAGCCAUAUAUGUUUGAGCUGAGAUCAACCACCAACGGCACCGAUGGUGACAAAGAGCUUCAGGGUCAUCAUCGGGAGGCAUCUGACACAUCUGAAUGACCUUUCGCUCCAUUAUGGAACCUGAUGAAGAAGAAUGGAUGACUAGCACGUAGUAUUUGCAGAGUCGUGCUGUUCACCGACACUCGUGUUCUUUCCCCAUUUGGAUGAAUAAUCCAGUAGACCAUGUCUGCGUUCACCUCGGAGAACACAAACGGUGCAUCAUAUUUUAUCCCCACCUCACCUUCUCUCACUGCCUUCACCGGACAUGGCCCACAACAGUAUACACCUACAGCUACAGCGGAGAAAACCCAACACUGGCCAUAACGCACCCGCUGAGCUCCUCCCUCACUCCAGCGUCUCAGGAUGGGAACACUGCCAGUCCAGCGUGUAGGGGACACACCAUCGCUGUACUCACCAUCCCAGCGCCCAAA